rnacentral:rRNA from 1 species
AGAGUUUGAUCCUGGCUCAGGAUGAACGCUAGCGGCAGGCCUAACACAUGCAAGUCGAGCGGGGUAGCAAUACCUAGCGGCGGACGGGUGCGUAACGCGUACGGAACUUGCCCUGGAGUGGGGGAUAACAGUUCGAAAGGACUGCUAAUACCGCAUAAUGCAGCGGCUCCAUAAGGAGACAGUUGUUAAAGACUUAUUGCUUCAGGAGAGUCGUGCGUAAGAUUAGCUAGUUGGCGGGGUAACGGCCCACCAAGGCGACGAUCUUUAGCUGGUCUGAGAGGAUGAUCAGCCACACUGGCACUGAGAUACGGGCCAGACUCCUACGGGAGGCAGCAGUGGGGAAUAUUGGGCAAUGGGCGAAAGCCUGACCCAGCCAUGCCGCGUGCAGGAAGAAGGUCCACUGGAUUGUAAACUGCUUUUCUUCGGGGAUAAGGCGCCAUUAGAUGGCGAUUGAAGGUACCGAGGGAAUAAGCACCGGCAAACUACGUGCCAGCAGCCGCGGUAAUACGUAGGGUGCAAGCGUUGUCCGGAUUUAUUGGGUUUAAAGGGUGCGUAGGCGGUUUAGUAAGUCGUAGAUGAAAUGUUUGGGCUCAACCUAGGCACUGUUUACGAUACUGCUAGACUUGAAUAAGCUUGAGGUGGCUAGAAUGAGUGGUGUAGCGGUGAAAUGCGUAGAGAUCACUCAGAAUACCAAUUGCGAAGGCAGGUCACUGGAGCUAUAUUGACGCUGAGGCACGAAAGCGUGGGGAGCAAACAGGAUUAGAUACCCUGGUAGUCG